rnacentral:rRNA from 1 species
UGGGGAAUAUUGCACAAUGGGCGCAAGCCUGAUGCAGCCAUGCCGCGUGUGUGAAGAAGGCCUGGUUGUAAAGCACUUUCAGCGGGGAGGAAGGCGAUAAGGUUAAUAACCUUGUCGAUUGACGUUACCCGCAGAAGAAGCACCGGCUAACUCCGUGCCAG